AACGAACGCUGGCGGCAGGCUUAACACAUGCAAGUCGAACGCCCCGCAAGGGGAGUGGCAGACGGGUGAGUAACGCGUGGGAAUCUACCCAUCUCUACGGAAUAACUCAGGGGAACUUGUGCUAAUACCGUAUACGCCCUUCGGGGGAAAGAUUUAUCGGAGAUGGAUGAGCCCGCGUUGGAUUAGCUAGUUGGUGGGGUAAAGGCCUACCAAGGCGACGAUCCAUAGCCGGUCUGAGAGGAUGAUCAGCCACAUUGGGACUGAGACACGGCCCAAACUCCUACGAGAGGCAGCAGUGGGGAAUAUUGGACAAUGGGCGCAAGCCUGAUCCAGCCAUGCCGCGUGAGUGAUGAAGGCCUUAGGGUUGUAAAGCUCUUUCACCGGAGAAGAUAAUGACGGUAUCCGGAGAAGAAGCCCCGGCUAACUUCGUGCCAGCAGCCGCCGUAA
rnacentral:rRNA from 1 species